CCUACGGGAGGCAGCAGUGGGGAAUAGUGCACAAUGGGGGAAACCCUGAUGCAGCGACGCCGCGUGAGUGAAGAAGGAAGUCGGUAUGUAAAGCUCUAUCAGCAGGGAAGAAAAUGACGGUACCUGAGUAAGAAGCCCCGGCUAACUACGUGCCAGCAGCCGCGGUAAUACGUAGGGGGCAAGCGUUAUCCGGAUUUACGGGGUGGAAAGGGAGCGUAGACGGCAGUGCAAGGCUGGAGUGAAAGGCAGGGGCUCAACCCCCGGACUGCUCUGGAAACUGUACGGCGUGAGUGCAGGAGCGGUAAGUGGAAUUCCUCUUGUAGCGGUGAACUGCGUAGAUAUUAGGCGGCCCACCAGUUGCGAAGGCGGCUUACUGGACUGUACCUGACGUUGAGGCUCGAAAGCGUGGGGAGCAAACAGGAUUAGAUACCCGGGUAGUC
rnacentral:rRNA from 1 species